UCUCUAGUGAUUGGAAAGUAUAUACAGAGCAUACGAAUGAUGUUGAAUGAGAAAUACAGUUGUAAUUCUUGAAAUUAAUGCGUGUUCUUUGAUGACACAGACCCACGCAAUGGUGACAAAAGCUCAGUCAGCAAUCCAACAACAGAAACAUCUUUGGAGGAGGGACACCAAGAGGUACAAGGGGGACCUUCACUGCAAUGAGCACAGAAAAAGAAAACAUAGAUGGUGUCGUGAACAAACUCCCCAGGCCUUUAGUUGGGAUGGUGAUGACCCCAAAACCCACACUCACAAGAAACUCUGGUCGGCGGUUUUCUUAUGCGCAGCAUGUCAUGGAACGCACGUAUGGUUUGAUGAUCUUGUAAUAAAUGAAGGAAAACCAAGUGGCUUACCCAGGCAAGAUCCGUGUUGAGUUUAAUUUUGCAGCUCAUGUCCACCGUCUCAUGAAAACCUAGUUAAGUAUGGGAAAAGUGAAAUUUUGAAGCAAUGAGAUGAAUCAAUGACUCUGACAAAACGUUAAGAACUUCUUUAUCAUUUUUACUAAAAGCCUUCACGGAUGACUUGUGAAGAAAACCACAUGAAAGUGCCAGCAAAGUGAUUUAAGAACUGGCAUGAUGCAAGGUAUGACUUUUUUAAGUAGGAUUUGUUGUUGAU